GACCCGGCGCGCCGUUCCCUCCUCGAAGGGCAAUGCUCCCUCAAGCUCGCGGCCCCGGCCAGCCCAGGGCCACGCCUCACCGAGCCCCGUCCCCGCCGGCCGGGCCCAGGCCGCCGCCGCCGCCGCCGCCGCCCGCCCUUCCUUCCCGGCCGCUCCCCGCCGGCCGCCGCCGCCGCGACAGCGAGGCGGGAGCACUCACAUCCGUCCGCGUCCUCCUGCAGGUCCUCCUGGAGCAGCGAGAGGUCUGAGCCGAAAGGAGAGAAGAAAGGCCCGAAUGCCCUUAUGUGAGUUCAGCUGACACUAAUUCUCCAAAUGACAGUAAUUCCCAAACUAUCAACAGAAACCAGUCCCAAUUGACUCAGUCCAUGACAGUCCUGCCCUGCUUAUGGAUAUUACUCUUGUUGACACUUACCAUUUUAGCAAUUUCUGGAUAGAAAGGAGGAGGAGAGGAUUUUACUCUUUGCACUAACUGGUGAUCUUGUAACACCACAAAAUCUACAGAGUGCCAGCUAUACUUAAGCCACUGGGUAUACAAAGAUGAAGAAAGCUAUCUGGACAAUCUACCCAGAAGUUAGAUUUAUAAUUCUCAGGGAUGGUGAUAAGAUCGGGAUUGUGUACCAAUUGCUAGCCUGGGAUAUGAAAAGACAAACUCUGCCUUUGGUAGCUAGGCCUCCGUAAGCUUUAUCUCACUAUCCUCUGGGAAGGCAGCAAAGGAGGAGGGUCUGUGUAAUGUUGGUGUUCUUCAAGAACUAUGCAUUUAUAAUCCUACCUGCUUUACGUGUUACUACAGGUCCUUUCAGGCACUAUCGUCUUUGGACAUUUCAGUGAAGAUUUUCUUAUUCACAGUUCAGCACAAGUACAUGUUUUUUACAUUUGAUUUUUCUCUCCUUUCUUAAAGUUCAAUGGUUUUUAAACCAGCAUUUAUAAAAUUCACUCUGUUCCCUCCUUAUAAAAAAUGAUAUUUAAACAAAGAAUAGCACUCAUUUUUCUCUAUACCCUUACCCCGAUGUCAGCUAUAAUGCAGUCUGUGGUUUCUGGAAGCUGUAUGUUGUUUAGUGGUCAGAGCACAACACAGGGUAUAAAUUCUGAAUCUGUUUUGCCACUGAAAUCUGUAAAAUAGAGGGAAUUGUCACAAGUCAAUUUUAUUUAUUUAUUUUAUGUAAUCUCUAUACCCAACAUGGGUCUAGAACUCACAACCCCGAGGUCAAGAGCCAUGUGUUCCCCUGACUGAGCCAGCCAGGCACCCCACAAGUCAAUUUGUUAAAAAGUAUUAUCCAACUAUGUGGCUACGAAGGCCUGAAUUUUUCAGAGUAAGUCUUCUUUCAAAUGCUAGUGAAAACUUCCAUGAGUUGCCAAGAAGCCUUGGAAAGUGAUGUAUUUGACUCUUCAAAACCAAACAAUAAAUUUCAUGGGGAAAAGAUUGCCAAUAAAAAAACCCUAUCUGGGGCACCCGAGUGGCUGUCUGUUAAGCGUCCGACUUUGGCUCAGGUCAUUAUCUAGCAGUUGGUGAAUUCGAGCCCCGCAUCAGGCUCUGUGCUGACACUCAGAGCCUGGAGCCUGCUUUGGAUUCUGCGUCUCCCUCUCUCUCUGUCCCUCUCCCACUCAUACUCUGUCUCUCUCUCUCUCUCAAAAAUAAAUAAACAUCUAAAAAACAUUAAAAAAAACCUACCUGGCAUUGCUUAAUGCUAUUCCAUUUAUUAAUUUUUGUAUUGGUAAUCAAACUGUUUACUUUUUUCUUUGGAAUUAUCACUUCUGUGGUCAUUCUUGAAGCUGAAAAUAGAGAAAAGGCAGAUCUAUCAGUUAUUGUUUUGAAUAAUAAAAAAAUCUGAAAGUGGAAAAAUACGAGAAUGUGCUUUUUAAACAGAUUUUUAACAUUCAUUUUUAUUCAUCUCUGUGUUUUUUGGAGCCAGGUUGGUGAGAUGUCCCUCUACAGACUGCCAUUCCCAAGUAAAAAGCACAAACAUUUUCCACUUUCAAAAAAAUAAUUGCCAGUCUCCUACCAAAAGCCUUCUUUCCGUAUUUUGGUAAGUUGUAUGAAGGAAGUCCUGGCUUCAGAUGGAGGCAGAUGUCCAAGCACUCGGCUACUACGUUACUGGAAAUACAAGAGAGAAGAGCCGGUGAAACAGCAUCUUGAGAAAACAGAAUUCUAGAAAGUGGGCGACUAAAUAGGACAGCAGGUCACUUCAACAAGUCAAUGUCAAGAUUCAGAGCAGCAGGGGCGCCUGGGUGGCUCAAUCGGUCAAGCAUCCGACUCUUGACUUCAGCCCAGGUCAUGAUCUCAUCACAGUUUGUGAGUUCGAGCCCCACAUUGGGCUCUGUGCUGGCAGAGCAGAACCGGCUUGGGAUUCUGUCUCUCUCUCUCUCUCUCUGCCCCUCCCCUGCUUGUUUUCUCUCUCCCUCUCUCUCCCUCUCUCUCUCACUCAAAAUAAAUAAAAAUUACUUUAAAAGAAAAACGAUUAAAAGUAGCAGAGGAGUACUGUUCCAGAUUAAAAGACAAGGUUAAUUUCUUUUUAAGCAACCA